rnacentral:rRNA from 1 species
UACGGAGGGUGCAAGCGUUGUCCGGAAUCACUGGGCGUAAAGGGCGCGUAGGCGGCUCAUGAAGGCUGUAGUGAAAGCCCUGGGCUCAACCUGGGAAUUGCGCUUGGGACGGGUUGGCUUGAGAUCGGGAGAGGAGAGUGGAAUUCCCAGUGUAGAGGUGAAAUUCGUAGAUAUUGGGAAGAACACCGGUGGCGAAGGCGGCUCUCUGGACCGACACUGACGCUGAGGCGCGAAAGCGUGGGGAGCAAACAGG